CCUACGGGCGGCAGCAGUGAGGAAUAUUGGUCAAUGGGCGCGAGCCUGAACCAGCCAAGUAUCGUGAAGGAUGACUGCCCUACGGGUUGUACACUUCUUUUAUAAAGGAAUAAAGUGAGGCACGUGUGCCUUUUUGUCUGUACUUUAUGAAUAAGGAUCUGCUAACUCCGUGCCAGCAGCCGCGGUAAUACGGAGGAUCCGAGCGUUAUCCGGAUUUAUUGGGUUUAAAGGUAGCUUAGAUGGGUUGUUAAGUCAGUUGUGAAAGUUUGCGGCUCAACCGUAAAAUUGCAAUUGAUACUGGCAGUCAUGAGUACAGUUGAGGUAGGCGGAAUUCGUGGUGUAGCGGUGAAAUGCUUAGAUAACACGAAGAACUCCGAUGGCGAAGGCAGCUUACUAAACUGCCACUGACAUUGAUGCUCGAAAGUGUGGGGAUCAAACAGGAUUAGAUACCCGAGUAGUC
rnacentral:rRNA from 1 species